GACUCGGUAAUGAAGUGGUGAUGGUGAGCAAAUAAAAAGAAGACGAUUUAGGGGUGGGGGUGUUCUUCAAUUUUUCCCCAAGCAUCUCGUCCAAUCCAAUCCAAAUUAGUACUGUAGUAGUGUAGCUGUAGAAAUUCAAUAAGAGAGCUCGAGGGAGGGGAUUGCGAAGGUGAGAGAUUGGAUUAGUUCCCGUCGAUCGGAUUCCAUCGGAUCCUACCUAUACCAAACCCUAAAGGAAAUCCAUGUCGUCCUCGUCGUCCUCCCCGGCGGCGCAGCGCUACUACUGCCACCAGUGUGACCGCACCGUCUCCAUCUCGCCGCCCGCCUCCCCGGACGACGACGUCCUCUGCCCCCGCUGCGGCGGCGGUUUCGUCGAGGAGCUUCACCCAGAUGCCAGCCCCGCCGCCCCCGCGGCCUUCCUCCCCUCGCCGCCCUCCUUCGAUCUCCGCCACUCCGGCGACCUCUCCGCCUUUUUCGGCCCGCCCUCCCCGGAGUCGCCCGCCCCGGGCCUCUUCGACCCCUCCAACUUCCUUCACGACCACUUCGGCGGCCUCCUCUCCGGCGGCGCCACCAUCCAGAUCGUCCUCGAGGGCGGGAGCGCCGCGCCCCUCCUCGCCCCGGGCGUCAGCUUCGCGGACUACUUCAUGGGCCCCUCGGGCCUCGAGCAGCUCAUCCAGCAGCUCGCCGAGAACGACCCCAACCGCUACGGCACACCGCCCGCCGCCAAGUCCGCCGUCGCCGCGCUCCCCGACGUCGCCGUCUCCGCCGACAUGAUGCAGGCCGACGGGGGCGCGCAGUGCGCCGUCUGCAUGGACGACUUCCACCUAGGGUCCGCCGCCAAGCAACUACCGUGCAAGCACGUCUUCCACAAGGACUGCAUCCUCCCGUGGCUCGACCUCCACAGCUCCUGCCCCGUCUGCCGCUUCGAGCUGCCCACAGACGACCCGGAUUACAACCAUCAGCGCGCGUCGUCCGCCCCCGCCCCCGCCCCCGCCCCCGCCCCCGCUGCCUCCUCCCCCAGGGUGGCCGAGAGGAGGUUCAGGAUAUCGCUGCCUUGGCCUCUCAGGGCUGCCUUCGGUGCUGCUGCCCAGGCUGAGUCCAGCCAUCCUACCAAUGAUGAUGUGCCUCCUUCUGGUGCCAACAAUAACGACCAUGAUGCAAGUGGUGGUGGUCCUCAAACUCAAAGCGGAUAUGAUGAUCUAGACUGAGGCCUCAUAGUCUUCUGGUAAAGAGCCGUUGUGCGAAACAAAGAGGUAAACCUACAUUUCUAGGGCAAGGUAACGAUGCUUGGUAGGGGACAUUCAUCAUGAAACAAAAGGCCGGUGCGGCACUGUAGCCUGUUCGCCAUAACGAAGAGAAGGCUUUUGCUUUAUUUCUCAUUGGUACUUGGAUGUAAAGAAUAGAAAGGUGGAAUUUUGGUACUUUGGAUGUUGGUGUAGGGAUUAUUAUUAUUAUUCCUCUUAGGGUGGUUAGGAGCAUGACUACCUUUUGGCAGCCGCAGAUGGAGGACAAAAAAGAAAAAGAAAAAUGGAUGACCAACGUUGCAUUCUGUUUGGUUCUCGACCUAUGUAUAAACAGGAGUAUGCCAUGGGGAUCAGGUCA